rnacentral:piRNA from 1 species
UGAAGCAGCUACUCACAUUUUGUCCAC